GCCCGGCUGGCUCAAUGGCAGAGCGCUAGACUUCUAAUCUUGAGGUUGUGGGUUCGACUCCCACGUCGGGUG
rnacentral:tRNA from 1 species